UGGCUCAUUGAUAGAGCACUUGCCUGGCAUCCAAGAAGUCGUGGGUUCAAUCCCCAGC
rnacentral:tRNA from 1 species